rnacentral:rRNA from 1 species
UGUGGGUAGCGGAGAAAUUCCAAUCGAACUCGGAGAUAGCUGGUUCUCCCCGAAAUAGCUUUAGGGCUAGCCUCAUGUUAGAUUUCCGGAGGUAAAGCACUGAAUGGCCUAGGGCCCGAGAGGGUACCGAAGCCUAUCAAACUCUGAAUGCCGGAAAAUUGAUGCAUGGGAGUCAGACUAUGUGAGAUAAGUCUCAUAGUCGAAAGGGAAACAGCCCAGAUCUACAGCUAAGGUCCCAAAGCAGGUUUAAGUGGAAAAGGAUGUGGAGUUGCGAAAACAGCCAGGAUGUUGGCUUAGAAGCAGCCACUCAUUUAAAGAGUGCGUAAUAGCUCACUGGUCGAGUGACUCUGCGCCGAAAAUUCAACGGGGCUAAAACCUGCACCGAAGCUUAGGCAUCCGCAAGGAUGGGUAGGGGAGCGUUGUGUAUGCGGAGAAGCGUUAGCGUAAGCGGGCGUGAAGCGUACACAAGUGAGAAUGCCGGAAUGAGUAGCGAGAAUGAUGUAAGAAUCAUCAUGGCCGAAAGCCUCAGGUUUUUGGAGGAAGGUUCGUCCGCUCCAAGUUAGCCGGGAGCUAAGGUGAGGCCGAAAGGCGUAGCCGAUGCACAUACGGUAGAGAUUCCGUAGCCGCCGAAAGAUUUAAGCAGGGGGACACAUUUGAAGUGUUGGUGCCGGGUGUUGGUUUACCCGGUCGAAAGGGACUGAAAUUUAGUAGGGAAGUCCAGCAUGGAGAGUGGCGAGAAAAGCCCUGUGUAUAUCUAAGGCGCCCGUACCGCAAACCGACACAGGUAGGUAGGAAGAAGAUUCUAAGGCCAACGGGAGAAGGGUUGUUAAGGAACUCGGCAAGUUGACCCCGUAACUUCGGGAGAAGGGGUGCUCAUGAAAGUGAGCCGCAGAGAAUAGGCCCAAGCAACUGUUUAGCAAAAACACAGGUCUGUGCUAAAUCGAAAGAUGACGUAUACGGGCUGACACCUGCCCGGUGCUGGAAGGUUAAGGGGAUGUGUGCAAGCACUGAACCGAAGCCCCAGUAAACGGCGGCCGUAACUAUAACGGUCCUAAGGUAGCGAAAUUCCUUGUCAGGUAAGUUCUGACCCGCACGAAUGGCGUAACGAUUUGGGCACUGUCUCAACAGCCCGCCCGGCGAAAUUGUAGUACCGGUGAAGAUGCCGGUUACCCGCGACAAGACGGAAAGACCCCAUGGAGCUUUACUGCAGCCUAAUAUUGGGUUUCGAUAUUACAUGUACAGGAUAUGUGGGAGACAUGGAAGCACGGGCGUCAGCCUGUGUGGAGUCAGCCUUGGGAUACCACACUUGUGAUAUUGGAAUUCUAACCUGCGGCCCUGAAUCGGGUCGGGGGACAUUGUUAGGCGGGCAGUUUGACUGGGGCGGUCGCCUCCGAAAAAGUAACGGAGGCGUUCAAAGGUUGGCUCAGCUUGGACGGAAACCAAGCCAAAGAGUGCAAACGCAUAAGCCAGCCUAACUGCGAGACUGACGGGUCGAGCAGUAACGAAAGUUGGAGUUAGUGAUCCGGCGGUAUGUGAGUGGAAAUGCCGUCGCUCAACGGAUAAAAGUUACCCUGGGGAUAACAGGCUGAUCUCCCCCAAGAGUCCACAUCGACGGGGAGGUUUGGCACCUCGAUGUCGGCUCAUCGCAUCCUGGGGCUGUAUUCGGUCCCAAGGGUUUGGCUGUUCGCCAAUUAAAGCGGUACGCGAGCUGGGUUCAGAACGUCGUGAGACAGUUCGGUCCCUAUCUGUCGUGGGCGCAGGAUAUUUGAGGAGAGCUGUCCUUAGUACGAGAGGACCGGGAUGGACGCACCUCUGGUGCACCAGUUGUCACGCCAGUGGCACAGCUGGGCAGCUAUGUGCGGAUCGGAUAAACGCUGAAAGCAUCUAAGCGUGAAGCCGGCCUGGAGAUAAGAUAUCCCACUGAGAUAAUCAGGUAAGACCCCUUGAAGACUACAAGGUUGAUAGGCUCAAAGUGUAAGCACGGUGACGUGUUCAGCUAGCGAGUACUAAUCGGUCGAGGGCUUGACCAC